UUUCUUGUAAAUCUUAGAUUCUUGGCUUUGCGGGCUUAUAGCCAGAUUUUGCACUUCUAACUACUUUUAGCCACAUUGGUUAGUUUUAGAAUUUCAAAAUUGCUUGUUGGAAAUUGUGGGAAUUGAGUUGUGUCAGUGGACUCUACUAUUGAAAUUCUUAGAGUUCAAGUUGGAAUUUUUUUGUCAAACUUCUUUUAUGCUGUGAAAGUUCUGUUGAGAUCAGUCUUUGUUUGUUGGAGCAUUGUUUUGUGAUUGUAAUUCAAUCUAUGAGUUGUUCAUGGGCCAAUGCUUGAAAGAAAAACAUGCAUUGAACACCAAUUAUUUUUGUGCUAAGACUGUGGAGUUCUGAAGCUUGUUUUGUUGAAGUUUGCCACUUUUGUGAAGUUUUUGGAGUAAAUUGAUGGCUGAAAUUCUCCUAGUUUGAACUUGUUACCACUGGUUUCUAAUAGUUGUUGUCAUUGUUGAGUUUAAUAGAGGGGAUCAGUUGGACUAAAGAUUGAGCAGCUUGAAUUGUGAUUUGGU
rnacentral:lncRNA from 1 species